GAUGAACGCUGGCGGCGUGCCUAAUACAUGCAAGUCGAGCGAACAGAUGAGGAGUUUGCUCCUUUGACGUUAGCGGCGGACGGGUGAGUAACACGUGGAUAACGUACCUAUAAGACUGGGAUAAUUUCGGGAAUCCGGCGCAAAUACCGGAUAAUAUAUUGAACCGCAUGGGUCAAUAGUGAAAGACGGCUUUGCUGGCACUUAUAGCUGGAUCCGCGCGGCAUUGGCUAGUUGGUAAGGUCACGGCUUACCAAGGCAACGAUGCGUAGCCGACCGGUGAGGGUGAUCGGCCACACUAGAGCUGAGACACGGACAAGGCUACUACGAGAGGCAGCAGUAGGGAAUCUUACGCAAUGGGCGAAAGCCUGGCGGAGCAACGGCGCGUGAGUGACGAAGGUCUUCGGAUCGUAAAGCUCUGUUAUUAGGGAAGAACCAAUGUGUAAGUAGCUAUGCACGUCUUGACGGUACCUAAUCAGGAAGCCACGGCUAACUACGUG
rnacentral:rRNA from 1 species